rnacentral:rRNA from 1 species
CCUACGGGUGGCUGCAGUCGAGAAUCAUUCACAAUGGGGGAAACCCUGAUGGUGCGACGCCGCGUGGGGGAAUGAAGGUCUUCGGAUUGUAAACCCCUGUCAUGUGGGAGCAAAUUAAAAAGAUAGUACCACAAGAGGAAGAGACGGCUACCUAUGUGCCAGCAGCAGCGGUAAUACAGAGGUCGCAAGAGGUGUUCGGAAUCACUGGGCGGAAAGCGUGCGUGGGCUGUUUGGUAAGUCGUGUGUGAAAGGCGCGGGCUCAACCCCCGGACGGCAUAUGAUACUGCGAGUCUUGAGUAUCGGAGGGGGAGGCGGAAUUCUCGGUGUAGCAGUGAAAGGCGUAGAUAUCGAGAGGAACACUCGUGGCGAAGGCGGGUUGCUGGACAUCAACUGACGCUGAGGCACGAAGGCGAGGGGAGCGAAAGGGAUUAGAUACCCUGGUAGUC